UAAGUGUACACCCAUGGACACGAACAGAAUACUGGAGAACAGUCGCGGUGCGCCCGCUACCGCCGCCCCCGCGCCGCAUCCUCUAUUCCUCUGCCAUGGAGGCGGGCGCCAUGCCCCAAAGAACGGCCGACCGCCGCGGCCCCAUCCCUCUGCUACGCCCUCAACUCCUCUUUUCCGGCCGCCUGCAUCCCGUCCCUCGAGCAGCUCGUGUCUGGCGAGAUCAAUGGGGAGCAGCCGAUGCCUCUUCACGCGUCUCCACAGCCGUCGACCUGGCGUGGCGUGGCGGACGCGGCUCCUCUGUCCCGGCGUCGCUGGACUGUACGAUGCCUGCGGAGGCGCCUUCAACCUCCGCCCCGGCGAUGCGUUCGUCGCUCGCCAAUCUAGCGUGCCCCCACGCGGCGCGGCCGCCCUACACCUGCGCCCCCAGCCUCCGGCGACGGCGAGUUCCUCUCCUCCUUCCUUCCCGGUGGGACGACGGUGGUUGCAAUCCCCAUCCCAUGUGUGCAUCCUGCUAGCUAUCUGAACUGUGUGCAUCCUGCUAGCUAUCUGAAUUUCUGCUGACUGAAUGAACCAUGUAUCCUGUCCGCCUGCCCUGGUGUCAAAACAAAUUGGCUAUAAGAUUUUACAGAGUCGACUACAUGACUUGAGUUUGUUGCAGAACACCUAAAUAAUACGUGUGGUUUAGGAAACUCUUAAGCAGCAUGCUAUAAACCGUUCGAGUUUACAUAAUAGUUUUCUUACUUUUCUAUGUGGAAGUGAUUAGUGGUUUCAAAAUUGCAGACGUUCAGUGGCACUGUAAUGGUGCCUUUCCAUGCUGCUCUUGCAGUUGGUUUAAGUGUACAGCUAAACACAUAGAUCCCUAUACAUGAUCAGUAGUGCAGUUUCUAAGAUCUUUACCAGUUCAAUCCUGCAUAACUAGCUUCUACUUAACCUAUAUGAUUGACUGUUCUUCGACCAAAACAAAAAUUGUCUAACUUUAUUAGUAGGGUAGACAAACAGAACACAAUGUGAACACUGAUGACACCUGCUUAGGAGCCAAAGGUGCAACAUGCAUCACAUAAACUAUAUAUGGUGCUCAAGGUCCUUUGCUUUAUAUUAUCAGGUGUAAAUUAUAUAAUUGAAGAGACAAGCACAAUGGGGUUGUUUAGCUUGGAGUGUAGGGGUCCAGGUGGGAGCCUGUAUGCCCGGCGGCGACGCUGGAGAAUGGUUGCUAGGAACAGCACGACGGUGAGGAAGGGCGCCCAUGGUGGUAGCUCCAUUGGUGGCUUGAGCCGGCCGCGAUUUCAUGGCAUAAGUUGAAUGGACUUAUUUUGACAUUAAGAUAAAUAUGUUUGACACUUCUAAGUAAGAAAGCAAAGUGUUGGAAUUAUUCUGGCUCCUGUUCAUGACUAAAACUAAAUUAUCACAAGUUAAGUAAGAAAGCAUUUUCAGGAGCAUGUUCAGGUUCAGUGUUAAACCUCUUUGUCCGACUUGCGGACUAAAUAUAUUGUCAUCAAUGACUCAUCAUAAUCUCAUUUGGGCUCUUUACUGCAGUCAUCCUAACAUAAUUCUUGCUCUUUGCUUGUUUGAAGAGGGCGAUAUCAUCCAGCUGCAGGUGAUUGUCGGCGAUGAAUUCCGUCCAGCCUGCACGACAUGGUGCGCCACUCCAUCUUACAUCUCUCCAGCUGAAGCACAAGAAUUACAGAUCGUGUGCUGUUAUGGUAGUUCUUGCAAUUGACAUAACAUGGUACAGCAUGAACAUGUAUGCUGCAAUGGAGCCGUUCGUGGUCUCGACAAGCUGGCACAUCAGCCAGACACACCCGGUGCACAAGCUGCUAAGCCCGCAUUACUGUGACACCAUGACAAUCAACGUGCUCGUCCAGAUCUGAAGGCGGCGACGCACCGCGCAGCUCCCAUCCCAUGGCUUUGAUCUCCGGAUUUGGUCCGAGAGAAAUCCUUGGCCAGCGGUGGCAGCCAUGGCGUGAGGUACUUUUCUGACGCCGCCUUCCUCCUUGGAGGCGACAUCGAGGUACAUCCUCUCCCCCUCCUUGGAGGCGACUUGUCCUAUGUUGCGCAUCUGUGCUCUAGGGUGAGCUUCUCUAUCUCUCGACGGUACGUCAUCCUUGAAACCAGGGUGUGCAGGUAGAGGCCUUCUUCUGAGGUGGAGGUAGCGACGGAUGACACAUUGGCGAUGACGACCGGGAAUUGAUGAAGGCGUGUUCUAUCUGCGGUGGCGUGUCUAGCUUCACGGCAUCCUCUCCUACCUUCUGAUCCUACCGACGAUCAAAGGCCUUGAAGCUGAAGCUGUAGUUCUUGUUUAUUAUUUGCUUGCUUGUUGUUUGAUGCAUUUUGUUUAGCAGAAAGUGGAAUUCCUGUACUAGGCUGACCGGGGCAUCGGGGCGCUGGCCGCGCUGGCUUUUUCUUCACGAGGCGCUGUCGGGUUUAAUUGGGCUGGCGGACGCCGCUAAAGACAGGCGUAUUAUACGGCCAUGAAGCGAAAACCCGUUCAGCUUAUACUGACACAAAAGGGCACUUGGUGGGCUGCUGCUAGCCUGCCCACUUACAGGCUGAGCUCGAGAGGUGGCUACGGAGGGUGGAGGCGCUCGCCAAGGUCUGGUUUUCAGUGCUUUAGACAGUGAAGAGCUGGAGCUCUCUAAGCAAAGGGGCUCCGUUGGAAAAGAUGUUGGCAUUCUGCCACUUCUUGUCCACCAAGCUGAGCAAACCUCUUCAGAUCUGUGGCUGACAGAACACUCUCCUUCUGAUGCCAAUCUGGGUGUUCCAGUUGCUGGGAAGCUUCUCUCUGAUCAUCUACUUGGGACCUUGAAGAUCUCCGAUGCACAGCCACAGCCCUUUGGCUCCCCGGAUCAAGCGCGAAUACCUGGGGCAAGAAGAUGGCGGUGCUGAGCCCAGCAUCUCCUCUGGACCUGGGAUGCUGGUCGCCAAUUCCAGGAUCCACUCUGCUGAAGAAGCUGAAGCAGUCAGAGAUCCCAGGCGCUUCCUCCUGCUAUCUGAAGAUCUGAGUUCAUUUAUAAUGCUUGUUUGUGAUUGAAUGUAAGUUUAUGAGCCUGAAGGUGUUGUUGCAAAGCCAAAUGUCCCGGCAGGCGGAGAGAGAGAGAGAGAGCGGGAGGGAGAAAGGAGGGAGGGAGGGAUAUUCAGAACUGAUUAACCAGUAUUGGUAUGCUAGACAGCUUCUACUGUUUGUUUAUGUUUCCCUUCUCCAGUCUCAUUUGAGAUGAUCCCAACUAGGACAGAAAGUUGUGCAAUUGUAAGUACCAUGCUGGGCUUACCACUAGGUUGAAUCUAUCUGGUUUGUAAGUUGGUCAUUGUUUUGUGAAUCGAAAAAGACAACCAGUGAGCUCCAAACUUGAUGUACAUUCUGUCUUUUUAUGUACUCAGAAGUUGUGAAAGAAGACUAAAUAAAACUAUUUGUUAGGAGCAUGUUUUAGCAGAUGA